GAGUACUGCUUACCAAUUGGAGUUGGGCUGUUGGAAUGAUCUCUACUGCCUACCACCAGGCAAAGAGGAACGGU
rfam:Callithrix jacchus clone CH259-400N6, complete sequence.